rnacentral:rRNA from 1 species
UGGGGAAUAUUGGACAAUGGGGGGAACCCUGAUCCAGCCAUGCCGCGUGUGUGAAGAAGGCCUUAUGGUUGUAAAGCACUUUAAGCGAGGAGGAGGGUACUGGUAUUAAUACUACCAGGUACUGGACGUUACUCGCAGAAUAAGCACCGGCUAACUCUGUGCCAGCAGCCGCGGUAAUACAGAGGGUGCGAGCGUUAAUCGGAUUUACUGGGCGUAAAGCGUGCGUAGGCGGCUAAUUGAGUCGGAUGUGAAAUCCCCGAGCUUAACAUGGGAAUUGCAGUCGAUACUGGUUAGCUAGAGUGUGGGAGAGGAUGGUAGAAUUCCAGGUGGAGCGGUGAAAUGCGUAGAGAUCUGGAGGAAUACCGAUGGCGAAGGCAGCCAUCUGGCCUAACACUGACGCUGAGGUACGAAAGCAUGGGGAGCAAACAGG